GUCACAGAGGGAGGCAACUGAGAAAGCUGCCCCACCACCCAUGGCUGCAGCUGUUCUCUCACAGCCCUAAGCGAGCCGAGUCCUAGCGUGGCUUCCUCCCCUCCGCCCCCCGACUGCCAGGCUCAGCUGUUGCCCAAACCUCCCUGAAGUCAGCGGCAAAGUGGCCUGGAGCAGCCUCAAAGCGUACACCUGCAGCAGCCCCUCAUUUAGGUUUUUGGACCCCAAGCUAUUAUUAAGACCUCACUCGGGAGGACUCAAGAUGGCACUGUGAGAACAACCCAGGAUUGGAGCUCUUCUCGUUGAAUCUGCAAACGACAUUAAAAAAUUAUUUGAAUUGACCCAGAAGAAAAUUUGAGCAAAAAAGGAUAUAAAUAUGAAAUGUUUCUUUGAUGACAAUUCUGGAAGCCAUCAGGAAGAAAUAAGAUUAAUACAAUGAACACCUACCUUCCAGAAGUUCAAUUUGUUGAUGAAUCAGUAUCUGAUCUAUCUAUUAUAGGAAAAAAAAAGUGGUAAGUAUAUGUUAAAUGAAGGUUUUUUUAAGCCAACCAAAUUAAAAUUCAUGUAUUUAUAUAUUUAAAGUACAGGGAAUCAAUUAUCAACAUUUAAUAGCUUAUAUUACUUUUUAGUGUAAAACAAGUUAAUAUUUUUAAUUAAUAAAAUAUUGUGUUUACAAUUAACGUGUGGAAAUUUAGAUCAAAUAAAAUUGAUUUACACUGGAGUAACUUUAAAAACUAGAAAAUUGAUACAAACGCUCGGUACUUUUAUGAAAAAAUGCUUAACAUCACUAAUCACCAGGGAAAUGCAAAUCCAAACCACAAUGAGAUAUUAUUGUUGCCCGAUUAAGAAUGGCUAUUAUCAAAAAGACAAAAACUAACAAAUAAUAGUGAAAAUGUGGAGCAGGGAAGAUUUGGUGAGAAAGUAAAUUAGGACAGCCAUUAUGUAGUGCUUCCUCAAAAACUAAAAUUACAACUACCAAAUUGAAUAUUCAGCAAUCCUACUACCAUUUUUCCAAAACAAUAUUUUUUUCAAAUUUUUCAAAAUUUUCAAAACAAAAAUUUCAAAGGAAAGGAAAUCAAUAUGUCAAAGAGGUAUCUGCACUGUCAUGCUUAUUGCAGCACUAGUAGUCAACAUGUAGAAUCAACCUAAGUGUUCAUCAAUAGAUAAAUGAAUAAAGAAAAAUUCUUUUUUUUUUUUUUUUUGAUAUGGAGUCUCACUGUGUCACCCAGGCUGGAGUGAAGUGGCACGAUCUGGACUCACUGCAAUCUCUGCCUCCCAGGUCCAAGUGAUUCUCUACCUCAGCCUCCUGAGUAGCUGGGAUUACAGGCGCCUGCCACUUUUUUCUAAUUUUGUUAGAGAUGGGGUUUCACUGUGUUGGCAGGCUGGUCUCGAAUACCUGACCUUGUGAUCCAUCCACCUCGACCUCCCAAAGUGCUGACAUUACAGGCAUGACCAGCUGAAAAAUUCAUUCUUAAUACACACAAUGGAAUAAAAGUCAGCCAUAAAAAUGAAUGAAAUCCUGUCAUUGGUAGCAGCAUGGUGAGCCUGAGGGACAUUAUGUUAAGUGAAAUAAGCCAGGUACAGAAAAAAAAAAUACUGGAUGUUCUUAUACAUGGAAGCUUAAAAAAAUUGAUCCCAUGGAAGUAGAGAGUAGAACAGUGGUUACUAGAAACUGUGAAGGGUAGGGAGGAGGGGUAUAACCCGAAGUUGAUUAAUGAAUACAAAAUUAUGGCUAGAAAGGAGGAAUAAAUUCGAGUGUUCUAUAGCUAUGUAGGCUGCCUAUAAUUAGCAAUAAUUUAUUGUACAUUUUCAAAUAGCUAUAAGAGAGGAUUUGGAAUGUUCUCAACACUAAAAAUGAUAAGAUGUUGAAAGUGAUAGAUAUGCUAAUUACCCUGAUUUUAUUAUUACAUAUAGUCUAUGUGCAUUAAAGUGCCACACUGUACUCCAUAAAUAUGUACAAGUACUAUGUGUCAAAUAAUUUUAAAAGUAGAUAACAAUCUUUCUUCUGGAAGAGGCUCAAGAAAUAUUGAUAACUUUUUUAGCCAUCAAUUUUCUACACGUUUCAAAUUUGUAUUAAUCAUACUUAAUAUCAACCUUUGUCAUAUGUGAUAACAUCCUUUAUGUAUUUUACGACCCUGAUUUUUAAAAUACCUAUUUUUAUAUAUUUCUUGCAUGAUAUAAUAAUGACUAAAAAUUCCUAUGAUUGUGCCACUUAAGUGCAUUGUGAGAAAUUAAGUUACUAAACACAGUGCAAGAAAGAAAUGAUUCAUGAAAUAAAAACUGGUUGAAUAUCACAAGAAUAUUUGUUUUUAUUUGUAUAAACUGAACACACAGAGUUUCUUGUUUCUAUUUGACCUACUUGAUUUCUAACACCACAUAAAUGUUAAACCUCUUAUUGCUGAGACUAAUUAGAAUUUAGUGGAACAAAAUCCAGGACUUUUUACUCCUUUAUUAAUGACAUUUAUAUAAUUGGAUCUUUCAAAAAACAAAAGCAGCAUCAUAAAAAUGUAGUUUUAUUAGUUAAAAUAAAAAGGUGUGUCAUAUUGCACAUAAAAUAUUAACCCCUUGUUUGGUGCCACUUAUUGAAACUCAACAAUAAACUUUAUUUAAAUUUUAUUUCAAAUUAUAAGGCAAUUAUUCAGUAUUGAGAUUAAAGAGCACCAUGCCCAGUACCAAAGUUUCUGGAUUGAAAAACCAUUCUCAACUCUUUAGGUUCUCACCCCAGAGUGAGAGAUAUAAAUUCUCUGGACCUUAGUUUCCUCUUUUGAAAAACGGAACUAACUGUAGCAUUAUAUAUCACAGAUUUUCUGUAAGGAUUAAAUGAGUUAAUACAUGGAUAAUGUAUAUGACAAAAACAAGAAAAGAGUACUAACUAAAUGUUUGCUAUUGGCUAUUAUCACAGAUUGUAUUUAGGAUCACAGAAAAUACUAUUUUCUAAGGCAUUUGUAUUUUGCUUUAAAAUUGAACCUGACCUAAAAGAAUUACAGUAAACUGUUAGCAGAAAAUGUAGUUUUGCCAUUUCAGACUUUGAUGAAUUAUUCAUUUGUUAAUCUGGUUUCUCAAGCUGGAAGCACAGUUCUGUUUUUUUAUGAGUAUGUUGUGUCCUUCAAAUUACCUGA